GUUGUAUGGUUAAGUGACUAAGCGUACACGGUGGAUGCCUUGGCAGUCAGAGGCGAUGAAAGACGUAAUAACUUGCGAUAAGCCCAGAUUAGGUAGUAAUAACCUUUUGAGUCUGGGAUUCCUGAAUGGGGAAACCCACGUGCACAAGCACGUAUCCUGUUGUGAAUACAUAGCAACAGGAGGCAAACCGGGGGAACUGAAACAUCUAAGUACCCCGAGGAAGAGAAAUCAACCGAGAUUCCGAAAGUAGCGGCGAGCGAAAUUGGAUUAGCCCUUAAGCUUUUAAUGAUGCAGGUGAAGCCUCUGGAAAGUGGCGCAGUAAAGGGUGAUAGCCCCGUAACCGACACAUCAUCAUCAGUGAAAUCGAGUAAGGCGGGACACGUGAUAUCCUGUCUGAAUAUGGGGGGACCAUCCUCCAAGGCUAAAUACUACUGACUGACCGAUAGUGAACCAGUACCGUGAGGGAAAGGCGAAAAGAACCCCUGUGAGGGGAGUGAAAUAGAACCUGAAACCGUGUACGUACAAGCAGUAGGAGCACCUUCGUGGUGUGACUGCGUACCUUUUGUAUAAUGGGUCAGCGACUUAUAUUCAGUGGCAAGGUUAACCGUAUAGGGGAGCCGUAGGGAAACCGAGUCUUAACUGGGCGUUUAGUCUCUGGAUAUAGACCCGAAACCGAGUGAUCUAGCCAUGGGCAGGUUGAAGGUUGAGUAACAUCAACUGGAGGACCGAACCGACUAAUGUUGAAAAAUUAGCGGAUGACUUGUGGCUAGGGGUGAAAGGCCAAUCAAACCUGGAGAUAGCUGGUUCUCCCCGAAAGCUAUUUAGGUAGCGCCUCGGACGAAUACUACUGGGGGUAGAGCACUGUUAAGGCUAGGGGGUCAUCCCGACUUACCAACCCUUUGCAAACUCCGAAUACCAGUAAGUACUAUCCGGGAGACACACGGCGGGUGCUAACGUCCGUCGUGGAGAGGGAAACAACCCAGACCGCCAGCUAAGGUCCCAAAGUAUAGCUAAGUGGGAAACGAUGUGGGAAGGCUCAGACAGCCAGGAUGUUGGCUUAGAAGCAGCCAUCAUUUAAAGAAAGCGUAAUAGCUCACUGGUCGAGUCGGCCUGCGCGGAAGAUGUAACGGGGCUAAGCUAUACACCGAAGCUGCGGCUACGUACCUUAGGGUAUGUGGGGUAGGGGAGCGUUCUGUAAGCCGUUGAAGGUGGUCUGUAAGGGCUGCUGGAGGUAUCAGAAGUGCGAAUGCUGACAUGAGUAACGAUAAAGGGAGUGAAAAACUCCCUCGCCGGAAGACCAAGGGUUCCUGUCCAACGUUAAUCGGGGCAGGGUAAGUCGACUCCUAAGGCGAGGCCGAAAGGCGUAGUCGAUGGGAAACGGGUUAAUAUUCCCGUACUUCUUACAAUUGCGAUGGGGGGACGGAGAAGGCUAGGUGGGCCUGGCGACGGUUGUCCAGGUUCAAGUACGUAGGCGGAAAGUUUAGGUAAAUCCGGACUUUCAUAACGCUGAGAUACGAUGUCGAGCACCUACGGGUGUGAAGUCAUUGAUGCCAUGCUUCCAGGAAAAGCCUCUAAGCUUCAGAUUGUAAGGAAUCGUACCCCAAACCGACACAGGUGGUCGGGUAGAGAAUACCAAGGCGCUUGAGAGAACUCGGGUGAAGGAACUAGGCAAAAUGGUACCGUAACUUCGGGAGAAGGUACGCUCUUAUCAGUGAAGUCCCUUGCGGAUGGAGCAGACGAGAGUCGCAGAUACCAGGUGGCUGCAACUGUUUAUUAAAAACACAGCACUGUGCAAAAUCGUAAGAUGACGUAUACGGUGUGACGCCUGCCCGGUGCCGGAAGGUUAAUUGAUGGGGUUAGACUUCGGUCGAAGCUCUUGAUCGAAGCCCCGGUAAACGGCGGCCGUAACUAUAACGGUCCUAAGGUAGCGAAAUUCCUUGUCGGGUAAGUUCCGACCUGCACGAAUGG
rnacentral:rRNA from 1 species